UGUAGUCUCAGUCUGAGCAACAUAAGCAUUUUUGGGUGGGCGGCCAUGUAAAGAAUAGCACAUGCCACGAGUGUGUCCAAGUUUAUAACAAUAAGAGCACUUGGGUCUAGAUCUUCCAAAACGACCUCCUCCUCGUCUACCCUCCUUAGUAUGAGAUGCCUGAUUGUCCAUUGACUGGAAUACGAGGAAAGAUGAGUCAAGUGUCUUUGAUGAGCUCACUAGAUGACUUGGUGCUGCAGCAAGGCGAAGUAAUCGAGAGAAUAGUUCAUCAACUGU
rnacentral:lncRNA from 1 species